UCGGAAGUAUAUGAAUUUCUGGAUAGUUCGGACAAUAAAUUAAUGAAGAAUUUGAUCAACCCCGAGUUCCUCGAAAGUGAUGCAUUCUGUUUAUUUGAGCGUUUGAUGGACGUUAUUGAGCCGUGGUAUGCACGAGGAGACUUACCUUCCAUUCCAUCUAAGCAGACAUUUGAUCCUAGUAUUGUCCCUUUUAUGGAGGAGCAACCGUUAUUACCAGUCAGUUGAGCAAUGAUUC